rnacentral:rRNA from 1 species
CCUACGGGCGGCAGCAGUAGGGAAUAUUGCUCAAUGGGGGAAACCCUGAAGCAGCAACGCCGCGUGGAGGAUGAAGGUUUUCGGAUUGUAAACUCCUUUUGUUAGAGAAGAUAAUGACGGUAUCUAACGAAUAAGCAACGGCUAACUCCGUGCCAGCAGCCGCGGUAAUACGGAGGGUGCAAGCGUUACUCGGAAUCACUGGGCGUAAAGAGGGCGUAGGCGGGAUAGCAAGUCAGAUGUGAAAUCCUAUGGCUUAACCAUAGAAAUGCAUUUGAAACUGUUAUUCUAGAGUAUGGGAGAGGUAGGUGGAAUGCUUGGUGUAGGGGUAAAAUCCGUAGAGAUCAAGAGGAAUACUCAUUGCGAAGGCGACCUGCUAGAACAUAACUGACGCUGAUGCGCGAAAGCGUGGGGAGCAAACAGGAUUAGAUACCCCUGUAGUC